rnacentral:rRNA from 1 species
GACGUAGGGCGCGAGCGUUGUCCGGAUUUAUUGGGCGUAAAGAGCUCGUAGGCGGCUCGUUGCGUCAACCGUGAAAACCCGGGGCUUAACUUCGGGCUUGCGGUUGAUACGGGCGGGCUGGAGUUCGGUAGGGGAGACUGGAAUUCCUGGUGUAGCGGUGAAAUGCGCAGAUAUCAGGAGGAACACCGGUGGCGAAGGCGGCUCACUGGCUCAUUUCUGACGCUCAGGCGCGACAGCGUGGGGAUCAAACAGG